rnacentral:misc_RNA from 1 species
CUGACCGCCGGAUCAUAUACAAUGUAUCGACGAGCACAUAGCUGUUGCCAAGCAGCGAGUUCUCGAAACGUCGAAUUUGGUCCGUUACGUUUUCCACGCAAGAAUAGACAUACGUGAGCAUAGGCGCGAACGGUGGCGUGACCUAAGUAUAGUGGGGGUCGUCUUAAAGAUAAGACAAAGAAAUCAUCCAAAGUCGAUCAGUUCCUUGUGACGCGUCGAACAUUACACAUUGAGCCAAACAUUCGCUUAUUCUAUUAAGUAUCAUAUCGUGCUACGUCCACCAAGAGACUAAGCUCAAUUUUUUUUCAAGCGCCGAGCCAUCGACAGCAUAUAGACAAAAGACUGGCACGAAGGCAGACCAUAAACAAUAGACAGGCGACAUUGGCUUCGGGGUUUUUCAGUUAUAAGGUAACACUGUUAGCGUGCGGAUCUGGACCAGCACAAAUUGUAUUCCUACUUAUUAUUACACUUCUCUAUUAAAUUAAAUAAAUAUAUUUUGUACCUUACACUUUAUCCGUUGCGUUUUCUCUCUCUAUACAUAUAAUAACAUCAACAAUAUUAACUACGAUAAAAAACUAAAAUUAAUUAUUUGACUCUAACUACCGCCACUAUAAUACGGCUGGCCUGUAUACAUAAUAAAUAAUUUAUAAUAAA